rnacentral:rRNA from 1 species
UACAGAGGGUGCGCGCGUUAAUCGGAAUUACUGGGCGUAAAGCGUGCGUAGACGGUUAUUUAAGUCGGGUGUGAAAGCCCCGGGCUCAACCUGGGAAUUGCAUUCGAGACUGAAUAGCUAGGGUACGGUAGAGGGAAGCGGAAUUUCCGGUGUAGCGGUGAAAUGCGUAGAUAUCGGAAGGAACAUCAGUGGCGAAAGCGGCUUCCUGGACCAGUACCGACGUUCAGGCACGAAAGCGUGGGGAGCAAACAGG